GAUGAAGAACGUAGCGAAAUGCGAUAAGUAAUGUGAAUUGCAGAAUUCAGUGAAUCAUCGAAUCUUUGAACGCACAUUGCGCCCCCUGGUAUUCCGGGGGGCAUGCCUGUCCGAGCGUCAUUACAACCCUCAAGCUCAGCUUGGUGUUGGGCCCCGCCACCCCGGCGGGCCCUAAAGUCAGUGGCGGUGCCGUCCGGCUCCGAGCGUAGUAAUUCUUCUCGCUCUGGAGGUCCGGUCGUGUGCUCGCCAGCAACCCCCAAUUUUUUUCAGGUUGACCUCGGAUCAGGUAGGGAUACCCGCUGAACUUAAGCAUAUCAAUAAGCGGAGGA
rnacentral:misc_RNA from 1 species